UUUAUGAUUAUAUUUUCAUAUAUUUAUGUGUAUUAAUUUGUGCAAUAUUUUUCACAGUCCAAGUCCACUAAAUGCAAGGACUCGAGAAAGAAAGUGUCGACAGACCACCAUUGGGGUCGAACAAGUAUCAAUAGUUGGUCCUAUAAUCAUUUUAAAAAGUUUGGCAAAAAUCCUACCGUGUUUGAUACGUAUAAGAAAGCCUACAUGGGCAUUGAUGCGUUGAGGGAAACCGGACCAUCUAUUAGUGAGGAAGGA